UUACGCCCAUAUCAGGUUGAAAGACCGGUUCCGGUACGAUCACCGAAGUUAAGCAACGUCGGGCAUGGUCAGUACAUGUAUGGGUAACACUUUAGGAAUUUCA